rnacentral:rRNA from 1 species
GAUGAACGCUGGCGGCGUGCUUAACACAUGCAAGUCGAACGGAAAGGCCCAAGCUUGCUUGGGUACUCGAGUGGCGAACGGGUGAGUAACACGUGGGUGAUCUGCCCUGCACUUCGGGAUAAGCCUGGGAAACUGGGUCUAAUACCGGAUAGGACGAUGGUUUGGAUGCCAUUGUGGAAAGUUUUUUCGGUGUGGGAUGAGCUCGCGGCCUAUCAGCUUGUUGGUGGGGUAAUGGCCUACCAAGGCGUCGACGGGUAGCCGGCCUGAGAGGGUGUACGGCCACAUUGGGACUGAGAUACGGCCCAGACUCCUACGGGAGGCAGCAGUGGGGAAUAUUGCACAAUGGGCGCAAGCCUGAUGCAGCGACGCCGCGUGGGGGAUGACGGCCUUCGGGUUGUAAACUCCUUUCGCUAGGGACGAAGCGUUUUUGUGACGGUACCUGGAGAAGAAGCACCGGCUAACUAC